rnacentral:rRNA from 1 species
UACGUAGGGAGCGAGCGUUGUCCGGAUUCAUUGGGCGUAAAGAGCUCGUAGGCGGUCUGUCGCGUCGGCUGUGAAAACCCGGAGCUCAACUCCGGGCCUGCAGUCGAUACGGGCAGACUGGAGUUCGGCAGGGGAGACUGGAAUUCCUGGUGUAGCGGUGAAAUGCGCAGAUAUCAGGGGGAACACCGGUGGCGAAGGCGGGUCUCUGGGCCGAUACUGACGCUGAGGAGCGAAAGCGUGGGGAGCAAACAGG